rnacentral:rRNA from 1 species
UGAGCUUGAUCCUGGCUCAGGAUGAACGCUAGCGGCAGGCUUAACACAUGCAAGUCGAGGGGUAUGUUUCUUCGGAAGCAGAGACCGGCGCACGGGUGCGUAACGCGUAUGCAAUCUACCUUUUACAGAGGGAUAGCCCAGAGAAAUUUGGAUUAAUACCUCAUAGUAUUACGACUCGGCAUCGAGAUGUAAUUAAAGUCACAACGGUAAAAGAUGAGCAUGCGUCCCAUUAGCUUGUUGGUAAGGUAACGGCUUACCAAGGCUACGAUGGGUAGGGGUCCUGAGAGGGAGAUCCCCCACACUGGUACUGAGACACGGACCAGACUCCUACGGGAGGCAGCAGUGAGGAAUAUUGGACAAUGGGCGCAAGCCUGAUCCAGCCAUGCCGCGUGCAGGAUGACGGUCCUAUGGAUUGUAAACUGCUUUUAUACAGGAAGAAACACCUCUACGUGUAGAGACUGACGGUACG